UACGUAGGGUGCAAGCGUUGUCCGGAAUUAUUGGGCGUAAAGAGCUCGUAGGCGGUCUGUCACGUCGGCUGUGAAAACCCGGGGCUCAACCCCGGGCCUGCAGUCGAUACGGGCAGACUAGAGUGCGGUAGGGGAGACUGGAAUUCCCGGUGUAGCGGUGAAAUGCGCAGAUAUCGGGAGGAACACCGGUGGCGAAGGCGGUUCUCUGGGCCUUACCUGACACUGAGGAGCGAAAGCGUGGGGAGCGAACAGG
rnacentral:rRNA from 1 species